AACCCCGGGAGGGGAGUGAAAGAGAACCUGAAACCUUAUGUUUACAAACAGUCGAAGUUUUUCGGAACGACGGCGUACUUUUUGUAGAACGGUCCGGCGAGUUGCAGUGACAUGCGAGGUUAAGGAGUACAGCUCCGGAGCCGAAGGGAAACCAAGUCUUAACUGGGCGUCUAGUAUGUUAAUGCAGACCCGAAACCGGGUGACCUAUCCAUGGGCAGGUUGAAGUUACCGUAAAAGGUAAUGGAGGACCGAACUCACAUCUGUUGAAAAAGGUGGAGAUGACCUGUGGAUAGCGGAGAAAUUCCAAUCGAACUCGGAGAUAGCUGGUUCUCCUCGAAAUAGCUUUAGGGCUAGCCUUGAGGUAAAGUCUAAUGGAGGUAAAGCACUGAUUGGACGCGGGUCCCCAAAAGGAUACCAACUUCUAUCAAACUCAGAAUGCCAUAUAGAUAUACUCAGGAGUCAGACUAUGUGAGAUAAGUUUCAUAGUCAAAAGGGAAAGAGCCCAGACCGACAGCUAAGGUCCCAAAGUGUGUGUUAAGUGGAAAAGGAUGUUAGGUUUCUAAGACAACUAGGAUGUUGGCUCAGAAGCAGCCACUCAUUUAAAGAGUGCGUAACAGCUCACUAGUCGAGAGGUCUAGCGCCGAAAAUGUCCGGGGCUAAAACACACCACCGAAGCUACGGAAUUACCUAUGGUAAUUGGUAGAGGAGCAUUCUGUAAGGACGAAGCACAAUUGAAAGAGAGUGUGGACGAAACAGAAGAGAGAAUGCCGGAAUGAGUAGCGAGAUAUAUGUGAGAAUCAUAUAGGUCGAAUGUCUAAGGUUUCCUGGGUAAAGCUGAUCUGCUCAGGGUAAGUCGGGACCUAAGGUGAGGGCGAGAGCCGUAAUCGAUGGACAACAGGUAGAAAUUCCUGUACUACGUAUAAUCAGAACUGUGGGGACGCAGGAGGAUAGGAAAACCGGAGAAUGGAAAAAUCCGGCUAAGUACAAAGGUGUGAGUGAUAGGCAAAUCCGUCACUAUAAGCUGAAGUACGAAUGGGAGCGAAGAAAAGUAGCGAAGUUUCUGAAUCCACACUGUCAAGAAAAGCCGCUAUUGCGUUAUACGUACCCGUACCGCAAACCGACACAGGUAGACGAGGAGAAAAUCCACAGACCGACGGGAGAAGUGUUGUUAAGGAACUCGGCAAAAUGACCCCGUAACUUAGGGAUAAGGGGAGCCAACGCAAGUUGGUCACAGAAAAGAGGCUCAAGCGACUGUUUAGCAAAAACAUAGGUCUAUGCGAAACCGUAAGGUGAUGUAUAUGGGCUGACACCUGCCCGGUGCUGGAAGGUCAAAAGGAGAGGUUAGCGUAAGCGAAGCUUUGAAUUCAAGCCCCAGUAAACGGCGGCCGUAACUAUAACGGUCCUAAGGUAGCGAAAUUCCUUGUCAGGUAAGUUCUGACCCGCACGAAAGGUGUAACGAUUUGAGCACUGUCUCGACAACACGCCCGGUGAAAUUGAAGAACCAGUGAAGAUACUGGUUACCCGCAACAGGACGGAAAGACCCCAUGGAGCUUUACUGCAGCUUAAUAUUGGGAUUCGGUAUUGUAUGUACAGGAUAGGAGGGAGACUAAGAAGCUAGCACGCCAGUGUUGGUGGAGUCGAUGGUGGGAUACCUCUCUUAUAAUACUGAAUUUCUAACCUACUUCCGUGAUCCGGAAGAGGGACAUUGUUAGGCGGGCAGUUUGACUGGGGCGGUCGCCUCCGAAAGAGUAACGGAGGCGCUCAAAGGUCUUCUCAGAAUGAUUGGAAACCAUUCAAAGAGUGUAAAGGCAAAAGAAGGCUUGACUGCGAGAGUGACAACUCGAGCAGGUACGAAAGUAGGACUUAGUGAUCCGGUGGUAACAAGUGGGAGUGCCAUCGCUUAACGGAUAAAAGCUACCCUGGGGAUAACAGGCUUAUCU
rnacentral:rRNA from 1 species